GAAUCUGGCUCUAGGUCUGGGACAACCACUGGAAACGGUGGCUAAUACCGGAUGUGCCGAGAGGUGAAAGGUUAACUGCCUAGAGAUGAGCUCGCGUCUGAUUAGCUAGUAGGUAGUGUAAUGGACUACCUAGGCGACGAUCAGUAGCUGGUCUGAGAGGACGAUCAGCCACACUGGGACUGAGACACGGCCCAGACUCCUACGGGAGGCAGCAGUGGGGAAUUUUCCGCAAUGGGCGAAAGCCUGACGGAGCAAUACCGCGUGAGGGAGGAAGGCUCUUGGGUCGUAAACCUCUUUUCUCAGGGAAGAACACAAUGACGGUACCUGAGGAAUAAGCAUCGGCUAACUCCGUGCCAGCAGCCGCGGUAAUACGGAGGAUGCAAGCGUUAUCCGGAAUGAUUGGGCGUAAAGCGUCCGCAGGUGGCAAUGUAAGUCUGCUGUUAAAGAGUCUAGCUCAACUAGAUACAAGCAGUGGAAACUACAUAGCUAGAGUACGUUCGGGGCAGAGGGAAUUCCUGGUGUAGCGGUGAAAUGCGUAGAGAUCAGGAAGAACACCGGUGGCGAAGGCGCUCUGCUAGGCCGUAACU
rnacentral:rRNA from 2 species